CACGUAGGGCGCAAGCGUUGUCCGGAAUUAUUGGGCGUAAAGAGCUCGUAGGCGGUCUGUUACGUCUGCUGUGAAAACCCAGGGCUUAACCCUGGGCUUGCAGUGGAUACGGGCAGACUAGAGGCAGGUAGGGGAGAAUGGAAUUCCCGGUGUAGCGGUGAAAUGCGCAGAUAUCGGGAGGAACACCGGUGGCGAAGGCGGUUCUCUGGGCCUGACCUGACGCUGAGGCACGAAAGCUAGGGUAGCGAACGGG
rnacentral:rRNA from 1 species